AGUGGAAUAGCUGGGUCAAAUUGUGAUUCCAUUCCAAGUUUUAAAGGAAUCUCCAUACUUCUUUUCAUAGUGGUUGCACCAAUUUGCAGUCCUUCCAGCAAU
rnacentral:pre_miRNA from 1 species